AUUACAUGCAAGUCGAGCGAACUGAUUAGAAGCUUGCUUCUAUGACGUUAGCGGCGGACGGGUGAGUAACACGUGGGCAACCUGCCUGUAAGACUGGGAUAACUUCGGGAAACCGAAGCUAAUACCGGAUAGGAUCUUCUCCUUCAUGGGAGAUGAUUGAAAGAUGGUUUCGGCUAUCACUUACAGAUGGGCCCGCGGUGCAUUAGCUAGUUGGUGAGGUAACGGCUCACCAAGGCAACGAUGCAUAGCCGACCUGAGAGGGUGAUCGGCCACACUGGGACUGAGACACGGCCCAGACUCCUACGGGAGGCAGCAGUAGGGAAUCUUCCGCAAUGGACGAAAGUCUGACGGAGCAACGCCGCGUGAGUGAUGAAGGCUUUCGGGUCGUAAAACUCUGUUGUUAGGGAAGAACAAGUAUGAGAGUAACUGCUCGUACCUUGACGGUACCUAACCAGAAAGCCACGGCUAACUACGUG
rnacentral:rRNA from 1 species